GGCGAGAUGUGUGAGCGGUCUAAACAGCUGUCUUAAGGUGUUGUCCAUAUGGAACACUUGUAGAAACGGCAGUCCCUCGGGGCGUGGGUUCGAAUCCCACUCUCGUCA
rfam:Cryptococcus depauperatus CBS 7841 supercont1.1, whole genome shotgun sequence.